rnacentral:tRNA from 1 species
GUUUCCGUAGCUCAGUCGGAUUCAGAGCGCUUCGUUGCGGACGAAGAGGUCGGGGGUUCGAUUCCCUCCGGGAACG